GGGUGCAAGGGUGAGCUGGCUGUGACAUCUGCCACCCUACUGGUGGCCAGGCUGACUCCGUUGAUCAGGCUGGCUAGGCUGUGUCCUUUUUCACUGCUUUGUCCCUCCCAAUGCUGCACACUAAUCAAAGAGGACAACUUUUUCUGAUAAAGGAGCAUCAUUCUUUGGUCAGGCAGGUACAAGGAGCUGUGCUGUACUGCUGGAACUUCUAAACAAGCUCUCAAAAUGUAUUAAGGAGAUAGCAGAAGCAUCACCUACAUUUAAAUAGAGGACUUCAGAUUGAAAGGCUCACUAU
rnacentral:snRNA from 1 species